CUCCUGCGAUCUAUACUGAAUUCAAGGCUAAUAUAGCCGCUCUACUAUCUGAGUGAAUAGUCACUUGUCUGUAGGUGGAUGCACUCUGUAGCAGCAAAUCAGCUGCUACCUUGAUGGCUGCGACCUCAGCCUGGAAUACACUACAGUAGUCGGGAAGUCUGAAACAGGAGUUGAUGGAGAGCUAUGAUAGGAAGAUGGAGUCAUGUGUAAAAGUGCACGUAAGUGAGGAAAGUUCUUUGAUUGCCAAUCACUUGAGAGUGACCAGAAACGAUUCUUUGGCAUAUAGUUCAAGCAGCUCACGACUUCCGGUGCUAGACCAAGUAUCCUCUGAGAGACCCACUUUUUGAUGGCGACCAUGGUAAACGAAUUACGGAUUACGAUUUGAAAGCAUGCACCUGGAAUGUCGGGUCCCUUAAUUGGGAAGGGGCCGCUAUCCAGCUGGUUGAUGUGCUCGUAAAAAUACAGGCUGACAUGACUGCGCUAGAAGUAUAUGCGAUAGAAGGGAGAAGGGCUGACACGUGUCGAUCCUUGUGGAAUUUACUUCAGUGGCCAUAUAAAGGAGCGCAAAUUCGAGGUGGGAUACGUGGUGGGAGAGAGACUCCGUCGCCAAGUACUGUCAGUAUCUUACAAUAAGUUAUCGUAAUUUAAGUUUCUGCUUUACAGUUGUGGUUCUUUCAUUGACUGUUGCAUAUUCCGAAAACUUUAUUAAUUUGCGUCGUUUUUAAUCUCAAUCAAAUGAAGGCGCGAAAUACCUUGCGCGCUGCUAUCGCAUUCGUUGUCGUCGUCAUUUGCUUAAGCGUCCAUUAUCUACUUACCGCGCUCGUUAUUCAAGCCAUCGACUGCAUGCUGCACUCGUGCAAUCAGUUUAUCUGUCAAUAAAUGAGAUAAGUAAAAAGGUUGGUUAUAUCACAAAUGUAUACAUUUAUAUGUGUGUGUGGAGUGGAAUAUGGGCCAAUUAGCGAAAGCAUAAGCAGGAGGUGCAUACCAAAAACUAUUAACAUAUUUAUGCACCAAAAAGAGCUUAUAAAGUUUGCCACGACGUUUAUUAGUUUGUAUACUAUAUAUGCAAUUUUGAGAUAUCAUUUUGAAAUUUUUGAUAUCAGACCACUACAACUGGAGCUGCCAAACAAACUGAACGAUUGAAAGCAAGUACCUCCAUAGAGAACUUUUUCAUUUGUGAAGAUAUUUGUAAGAAAUUUUGCAUGAGCUUUUGAUUAAGGCAAUGAUGUUAUCUCCAACAACUUUUGUUAGAUCGGAUAACUAUAGCAUAUAGCUGUUAUACAAACUGAUUGGUCGGAAUCAAGUUCUUGUAUGGGAAACUUUUUCAUUUGACGAGACAUCUUCAUGAAAUUUUGCAUGGGUGCGAUCUCCGAAGCAACUGUUCAGAUCGAGUCACCGAUAGUCAUACUGACGAAUCGAUCAAAAUCAAACAUUGAUAAGGAAUAUUUUGUAUUUAUGUAGAAGAAUUGCAGCUAAAAAAUGCAUUUGUAUUAUUGUUGAAUGCUUGGUUAUUGGACCAAGGGACUAUUCAAAAAUAUUUGUGCUUAUUUAGGCAUCAAAAAUUUGGGUGCUUCUUUGUUUUUCGAAACAAUGUUAAAACAUUCAAUCAAACAACACACUGUGUUCCCACCUCUAACGUCCAAAAAAACAAUUUGUAGAAAUAUGGAAAAUCCUAGGUACAAUGCAAAAACACCAUAACACACAGACGCAACAAUUCAAAUACGAAGCAGGGAAAAUGAAGAGUCAAAUACAACAUUCCGAAUGCGAAAUGCUUGUGUGGUUUUGCGCUAUUGUGCGGAAGUUGUGUCGGUGCCACAUACGCCACGGUUGACACAGCCGGUGUCAGCCAGCCUACCGCACGCAAAGGCAUUGUACAGUGCGAGAUGACUUUCUACAUUAUCAGCAAGGAUAAAAGCAUAACUAAAAUCUGCCAUAACGAAUAAUAAAUUCAUGAAUUAUAGUUGCUCCAAAGGUCUGACUAUAGCAGGGGGCAAGGUGCAAAUAUUCCAUACUAUAUGUAUAUCCAUACGCUAGCAAACGGACAAUAACGGUCACGCCAUGGGGUCUUGUCAUAACUUUUCAUGCACAAUGGACAAAAGGUGUGUAACUUCCAGAGCAGCAAUGAAAUCGCAUAGAUCAGAGAGAAAGGCGUAUGAAAAUAAAAAAUGAUAGCUGAAUAAAGGCUUUACGUAUUUCUGCGCCUUGACGGAUUUUUAUACAUGACAAAUAAAUAUUUGUAGACAUGGCCGUGAUAACUGUCUGCGUUUAUAUAGAAAUAAAAUAUAAUAUACAGAUGAAAUAAGAGAAAUGUAUUGAAAACAUGGACUUUAUCGUUGUAGCUGAUUUUAAAGCUAAUAUUGGCAGUCGAAAAAGUAUUUUCUUAUUUUGUUAAUGGAUGUCGUUGCAGUCGUAUAUCUCCAGUGCUACCAAUCACAUUGUGUCAUACCAUAUAGUGUUGGAAAAGUGAGAUUUUGAGCUUCAUUCAACCAAAUUAGGGAAAGUUGAAAAAAAAUUUGCAGCUGUUCAAAAAUGUGUGACAAUAAUGAAGAAAUUAACUAUAUUUUGAAAUUUUUUAUAAAAAGGGAAUGCCACGCAAGCCACCAAUGAAAUUUGUGAAGUUUAGAAAUGGAAUGAUAAGAGCACUAGAUAUUGUAUAAUAUUUAUAUAGGGAUAUAAUCCAAAUUCUUCUUUUGCAGAAAGAAAACGUCGGAGAUCCUAAAAAAUAUGGCUUCAGUUAAACCGAUAUUAAUACCAGUAGAAAUACAGAAGAGUCUUUCACAUUGAGUUUGUACUUACUCAUUAAAAUAUUUACUUAAAUCUUCUAAACGAACAAAGAAAUAGCAUAUCCCGACAGUUAUUACUACAUAUAUACAAGUACAUACAUAUACUAUGUUCACAUUCCUUAGUUUGAUUUAUAUAAAUCCGAACUUGCGGCCUAUCCUCGGAACCAGAGCUACAGAAAAACAAACAAGGAAUAUAUGUAAAAAAUCUUGCCUAGAUUGACAAGGACGGCAACAACAAAAAAACAUGGGCAUAACUGUUGGACAGAGUAACGCACCCAAGCAUAUUAAGUAUUCCCAUAGCAAAGAAAAACGUGGACGUGUAAGGAUAAAAAAUGAGGACCACACAGCCAACAGCAAAAGCAAGCUAACCGGCAAGUACAUAGCUCGCAGCGACUGACUACGCUGCAACCGCAGUGCUGGUCAGGUUUCCUUUUCGCCAACCACCUAUAAGCCUACCUUUUCUGUUGCUGGGUCACUGGUGUAUUUUAUGAAUUCCAUAUGAAUUUAUGACUGCAAUAAAAGAAUGGUAAUCGAAGAAGGCAAGAACAAUAUCCUUGAAAGCGACAACACGCAUUGUCCCACAGCCACAGUGGUGAACCAAUGAAAAAUAGGUUAAGUAUACGCCAAGUACCACACAAGACACGUUUCCUGUCUGUCGGUUGGGAAGCUGCCGUACAGGCAGAGUAUGAGUAUCUACUAUUGGGCAAUAUACAAUUAUAUUUAUACACUUUGUCCUAGCUGUUUAUAUAUCUCUAGUGCUUAACCCAAUGUGCAUAAGGAGACAAAAUAUGUGCAAAUAAACAAUCUUGGAAGUUCGUAUACAA